GAAGCCCUUAGAGGUGGUGCAGGGGUGGCUGCUGUGUCACAUGUGCAUCAGCAGGUGGCAGAGAGGAGAGAGGCUAUGUCUACACUCUGUUCUGACCUGCGAACAUCUGAAUUAGUAGUAGCCUAACACU
ensembl:snoRNA LOC120094491 small nucleolar RNA SNORA17